GAUGAACGCUGGCGGCGUGCCUAAUACAUGCAAGUCGAGCGAACAGACGAGGAGCUUGCUCCUCUGACGUUAGCGGCGGACGGGUGAGUAACACGUGGAUAACCUACCUAUAAGACUGGGAUAACUUCGGGAAACCGGAGCUAAUACCGGAUAAUAUAUUGAACCGCAUGGUUCAAUAGUGAAAGACGGUUUUGCUGUCACUUAUAGAUGGAUCCGCGCCGCAUUAGCUAGUUGGUAAGGUAACGGCUUACCAAGGCAACGAUGCGUAGCCGACCUGAGAGGGUGAUCAGCCACACUGGAACGGAGACACGGUCCAGACUCCUACGGGAGGCAGCAGUAGGGAAUCUUCCGCAAUGGGCGAAAGCUUGACGGAGCAACGCCGCGUGAGUGAUGAAGGUCUUCGGAUCGUAAAACUCUGUUAUUAGGGAAGAACAAAUGUGUAAGUAACUAUGCACGUCUUGACGGUACCUAAUCAGAAAGCCACGGCUAACUACGUG
rnacentral:rRNA from 1 species